rnacentral:rRNA from 1 species
AACGCGAAGAACCUUACCAAGGCUUGACAUCGCCGGAAAACUCGCAGAGAUGCGGGGUCCUUUUGGGCCGGUGACAGGUGGUGCAUGGCUGUCGUCAGCUCGUGUCGUGAGAUGUUGGGUUAAGUCCCGCAACGAGCGCAACCCUCGUUCCAUGUUGCCAGCGACACCUUCGGGUGGUCGGGGACUCAUGGGAGACUGCCGGGGUCAACUCGGAGGAAGGUGGGGAUGACGUCAAGUCAUCAUGCCCCUUAUGUCUUGGGCUGCAAACAUGCUACAAUGGCCGGUACAGAGGGCUGCGAUACCGUAAGGUGGAGCGAAUCCCUAAAAGCCGGUCUCAGUUCGGAUUGGGGUCUGCAACUCGACCCCAUGAAGUCGGAGUCGCUAGUAAUCGCAGAUCAGCAACGCUGCGGUGAAUACGUUCCCGGGCCUUGUA